GUUCAAAUAGCUUAUAUAGAGCAUAACACUGAAGAUGUUAGGGAGAUUUUAGGAUCUUUGGACA
rnacentral:tRNA from 1 species